UGGGGAAUCUUCCACAAUGGGCGAAAGCCUGAUGGAGCAACGCCGCGUGAGUGAAGAAGGUCUUCGGAUCGUAAAGCUCUGUUGCACGGGACGAAAACCGAGCUUGAGAAUAUUGAGUUUGGGUGACGGUACCGAGCGAGGAAGCCACGGCUAACUACGUGCCAGCAGCCGCGGUAAUACGUAGGUGGCGAGCGUUGUCCGGAAUUAUUGGGCGUAAAGGGAGCGCAGGCGGACAUAUAAGUCCAUCUUAAAAGUGCGGGGCUCAACCCCGUGAGGGGAUGGAAACUGUAUGCCUUGAGUGCAGGAGAGGAAAGCGGAAUUCCCAGUGUAGCGGUGAAAUGCGUAGAUAUUGGGAGGAACACCAGUGGCGAAGGCGGCUUUCUGGACUGCAACUGACGCUGAGGCUCGAAAGCCAGGGGAGCGAACG
rnacentral:rRNA from 1 species